UACGUAUGGUGCAAGCGUUAUCCGGAUUUACUGGGCGUAAAGGGAGCGUAGGCGGCGCGUUAAGUCUGAUGUGAAAACCCGAGGCUCAACCACGGGAGUGCAUUGGAAACUGGCGGGCUGGAGUGCCGGAGAGGUAAGCGGAAUUCCUAGUGUAGCGGUGAAAUGCGUAGAUAUUAGGAGGAACACCAGUGGCGAAGGCGGCUUACUGGACGGCAACUGACGCUGAGGCUCGAAAGCGUGGGGAGCAAACAGG
rnacentral:rRNA from 1 species